ensembl:snoRNA SNORD24 Small nucleolar RNA SNORD24
CGCAGAUGAUGUGAAAGAAUAUUUGCUAUCUGAGUGGUCGUGCUGACACAUUACCACCAAGAUCACUGAUGCU